UGCCAGCCGCCGCGGUAAUACGGAGGGGGCUAGCGUUGUUCGGAAUUACUGGGCGUAAAGGGCGUGUAGGCGGUCUAUCGAGUCAGGCGUGAAAGCCCCGGGCUUAACCUGGGAAUUGCGUUUGAUACUGGUAGACUAGAGGUUGGAAGAGGAGAGUGGAAUUCCCAGUGUAGAGGUGAAAUUCGUAGAUAUCAGGAGGAACACCGGUGGCGAAGGCGGCCAGCUGGACAGUGAUUGACGCUGAGGCACGAAAGCGUGGGGAGCAAACAGGAUUAGAUA
rnacentral:rRNA from 1 species